rnacentral:tRNA from 1 species
AUUUAUAUAGUUUAAUAAAAAUAUUACAUUUUCAAUGUAAAGAUAAUAAUUAUAUUUAUAAAUU